UUGCGGUUAAAAAGCUCGUAGUUGGAUUUCUGUCGAGGGCGGGCGGUCCGCACUAUGUGCGUGUAUCUUGUUCGGUCUUGGCAUCCUCUUGGGGAAUGCUUCUGUGCUUGAUUGCAUGGGGUGGAAUUCAAGACUUUUACUUUGAGGAAAUUAGAGUGUUCACGGCAAGCUACCGCUUUGAAUACAUUAGCAUGGAAUAAUAAUAUAGGGCGUAAGUUCUAUUUUGUUGGUUUCUAGGACAUACGCAAUGAUUAAUAGGGACAAUUGGGGGCAUUCGUAUUAACGCGUCGGAGGUGGAAUUCUUAGAUUGCG
rnacentral:rRNA from 1 species